UUUCGUUGGUGAUGUGCGACGUAGUAGUAUGUUCAGCUUAGUGAAAUGUGCUUAUCGAAAUUGUAUCGUGUCGGAUUGAAAAAAAAUUGUCAAAAUAUCUAUGUGACGUAUGAUUGAAGAAGGACCGAUGAAAAUGGCCGAUCAAACGAUGGAACGAGAUGAUCAGAACUAACAUAUGCAAUUCCUUUUUCGUGUAUUGAUGAGAGAGAGAGGAAGAGAUAUAUAGGCGUUGUUUCUUCGUUGGAGUAAUAAAUGGGGUAUCAUUCCUCCUUGCACGAAGUUAGUACGAAGAGAUGACCCAACGUAGUAAAGACUUUCGUCGAAGUAAACGGAUAGUAGUGGACUGCAUCGGGCUUCCACGUGUGCAUUGGAAGAAGUUGUAUCGUGGAUUCAUCGAAGAGGAAGAGAAAAAGGAGAUCGGAGGAUGCGAUUUUCGAGUCACGUUUAGAAAGAAGACGGUCAGCGGCCUUUCUUGGUUCAGGACUUCUCAAGAGUAACAAGCGCACAAUAGCACCCGGCUGAUGGCACUGGCGGUUAUGGAUGAACGGUAGCGAACGAGGAGCGACAGUCGGCAAGAAGCGAUGAGAGAAAAAGGAAGAUGAGAAGGAUGAGAAGGAGGAGGAGGAGAUGGUGGUGGUGGUGCAGGAGAUGAGGAAGAUGAAGAAAAGGGAGACGAAGGAGGCUGUGGUAAAUCGUUCGCCGAGCAGAAUCUCUUCGAGCGGCACGUUUCUCCGACGAACUUGGAGAUUCUCUCUUCUCUUUACGCCAUCGCAAGAAAUUUUCCCUAUCUUCUAUUUCCUCUCUCUCUCUCUCUCUCUCUCUCUCUCUCUCUCUCUCUCUCUCCCUCUCUCUUUCUAUGUCUGUCUUUCUUUUUGUCAACUUCAUGCAGUGAAUUCUUUACGAUAGGUAAAGAAAUUUCGUUGACACGAGAAACGUGGCCAAAAAUAUCAAGAAAAAUAGUAAAACUAUGAAAAUUCCGAUUUUUCUAUCUUUCUAUACAUACUUUAUAUAUAGCAGGAUGAAUAAGAGAUAGACAAAUAAAUGUAACGAACGAGAAAGAAAGAGAAAGAGAAGGAGAAAGAGAAAGAGAAAGAGAAAGAGAGAGAGACCAUCAGAAAAAUUGAGUUCCUUGAACCGAGACAACGCGCCUCGUGGUUCUUGUUAUUGUUGUUGUUAUUGUUGUUGUCGGUGCACUUCGGUUCUGUGAACUUCGGGAUGACGUCCAAUCUUCGUCCUCGAUUCUUCGAAUUGGAGAAUGAGUUGUUGGUAGCACCUUAUUCGUUGGAACAUCGCACAAGUGAAAACACCUUCGCGUAUCUUUUUCAUUGCGUCUUUCCUCUUUUUCUUUUUUCUUUUUUUUUUGCCUUCUUCCUCAUCUUCUUCUCCUCUUCCUCCUCUUCUUCUACUUCUCCUUCUUCUUUUUCUUCUUCUUCUCGAUUCAGAUCAAUCGAUCGAUCUUCUCUCUUUUUUUUCGAUGAGUCUUCCGAGGAGAUCGUAUUCAUCUUAAGACGGUCAAAUCGAUCGGAAGAGAGUUUCUCCUUUAGUAUACUCGAGCACGAAAGGUAUAUAACAUAGAGUUGCAUUCGAAGCGAUCUUUAAGGUACAUCGAACCCUCCCUUUAUAUGUUCCUUUAUACCCUCUUAAAUAUACCUGAAUCCUCGAAAAGGAUUUCGAAUGCAUAGCAAGGAGGAACAGGUGUCAAGAGCUGAUGGAGAAACGUUGAGGAAGGAGGUGAUACAUAGGAAUCGACACG